rnacentral:rRNA from 1 species
GAUGAACGCUGGCGGCGUGCCUAAUACAUGCCAGUCGAGCGAACAGACGAGGAGCUUGCUCCUCUGACGUUAGCGGCGGACGGGUGAGUAACACGUGGAUAACCUACCUAUAAGACUGGGAUAACUUCGGGAAACCGGAGCUAAUACCGGAUAAUAUAUUGAACCGCAUGGUUCAAUAGUGAAAGACGGUUUUGCUGUCACUUAUAGAUGGAUCCGCGCCGCAUUAGCUAGUUGGUAAGGUAACGGCUUACCAAGGCGACGAUGCGUAGCCGACCUGAGAGGGGGAUCGGCCACACUAGAACUGAGACGCGGUCCAGACUACUACGGGAGGCAGCAGUAGGGAAUCUGCCGCAAUGGGCGAAAGCCUGACGGAGCAACGCCGCGUGAGUGAUGACGGUCUUCGGAUCGUAAAACUCUGUUAUUAGGGAAGAACAGAUGUGUAAGUAACUAUGCCCGUCGUGACGGUACCUAAUCAGAAAGCCACGGCUAACUACGUG